rnacentral:RNase_P_RNA from 1 species
GCUACAAACGUAGAGGAAAGUCCGGGCUCCAUGGGCAAUGACGCCAGGUAACACCUGGGAGACGUAAGUCUACGGAAAGUGCUACAGAGAAUAACCGCUGUAUUACAGUAAGGGUGAAAAGGUGAGGUAAGAGCUCACCGCUGAGACAGGCAACUGAUUCAGGCAGAGCAAACCCCGUCAGGAGCAAGGCAAAUUUACAGGAUAUGUUUAGCCCUAAACUAACUGUAUGGUAGGCUGCUUGAGGUUAUUGGCGACAAUAAUCCCAGAUAAAUAAUCACACACGACAGAACCCGGCUUAUCGGCUAGCUCU